rnacentral:rRNA from 1 species
CCUGAUUCAUUGGGUUUAAAGGGUCCGCAGGCGGGACAAUAAGUCAGAGGUGAAAUCCUACGGCUCAACUGUAGAACUGCCUUUGAUACUGUUGUCCUAGAGUGUAGUUGAGGUAGGCGGAAUAUGUCAUGUAGCGGUGAAAUGCUUAGAUAUGACAUAGAACACCGAUCGCGAAGGCAGCUUACCAAGCUAUUACUGACGCUCAGGGACGAAAGCGUGGGGAUCAAACAGGAUUAGAUACCCUGGUAGUCCACGCUGUAAACGAUGGUCACUCGAUGUUGGCGAUACACAGUCAGCGUCUGAGCGAAAGCAUUAAGUGACCCACCUGGGGAGUACGACCGCAAGGUUGAAACUCAAAGGAAUUGACGGGGGCCCGCACAAGCGGAGGAGCAUGUGGUUUAAUUCGAUGAUACGCGAGGAACCUUACCUGGGCUCGAACGUAAGACGACGCUUCGUGAAAGCGGAAUUCCCUUCGGGGCGGCUUACGAGGUGCUGCAUGGUUGUCGUCAGCUCGUGCCGUGAGGUGUCGGGUUAAGUCCCAUAGCGAGCGCAACCCCUAUCUCUAUUUGCUAUCAUGCUAUGCUGGGGACUCUAGUGAAACUGUCUACUCUAGUAGUGAGGGAGGUGGGGAUGACGUCAAAUCAGUACGGCCCUUACGUCCAGGGCUACACACGGGCUACAAUGGCCGGACAAAGGGGGGCUACCUGGUGACAGGAUGCUAAUCUCGAAAAACGGUCUCAAUUCGAAUUCAACUCUGCACCCGACUUCCUUGAAGUUUGAUUCGCUAUUAAUCGCGCAACAGU